rnacentral:rRNA from 1 species
AUCAUGGAGAGUUUGAUCCUGGCUCAGAACGAACGCUGGCGGCGCGUCUUAAGCAUGCAAGUCGAGCGGUAACCGGAAGCUUGCUUCCGGCUAGAGCGGCGGACUGGUGAGUAACGCGUGGGUGACCUACCCUUAGGCUGGGGAUAGCCGGUAGAAAUAUCGGAUAAUACCGAAUAACCUUGUUUGAUUUUGAUUUUACAAGGAAAGGAGCUUCGGUUCCGCCUGAGGAUGGGCCCGCGUCCUAUUAGCCUGUUGGCGGGGUAAUGGCCCACCAAAGCUAUGAUAGGUAGCCGGCCUGAGAGGGUGAACGGCCACAUUGGGACUGAGAUACGGCCCAAACUCCU